ACAACUUUUUAUUCAUUUCUUUUAUGCUACCUUUCUUUUUUUAUUUCUCUUUUCCUCUGCACACAACUUUUUAUUCAUUUCUUUUAUGCUACCUUUCUUUAUACUCAUUCUAUAUCACGCACCCCUAUGAUAGCCAUCCUCAACUUAGGCCAUUUGCCUAAGUCAAGGUGCACAGUGUCCAAGGAGGACCAGGGCCAAAACAGGUUCAUUAUCAUCUAAAUGAGAAGGUGACAGGUGUCAUACAAAGAAAUAGGCUAAUUAGGCUCAAAACAGGG
rnacentral:lncRNA from 1 species